GAUGAAGAACGCAGCGAAAUGCGAUAAGUAAUGUGAAUUGCAGAAUUCAGUGAAUCAUCGAAUCUUUGAACGCACAUUGCGCCCCCUGGUAUUCCGGGGGGCAUGCUGUCCGAGCGUCAUUACAACCCUCAAGCUCAGCUUGGUAUUGGGCCCCGCCGACCCGGCGGGCCCUAAAGUCAGUGGCGGUGCCGUCCGGCUCCGAGCGUAGUAAUUCUUCUCGCUCUGGAGGUCCGGUCGUGUGCUCGCCAGCAACCCCCAAUUUUUUUCAGGUUGACCUCGGAUCAGGUAGGGAUACCCGCUGAACUUAAGCAUAUCAAUAAGCGGAGGA
rnacentral:misc_RNA from 1 species